rnacentral:rRNA from 1 species
AUUGAACGCUGGCGGAAUGCUUUACACAUGCAAGUCGAACGGUAGAGGGGGCAACCCCCUUGAGAGUGGCGAACGGGUGAGUAAUAUAUCGGAACGUGCCCAGUCGUGGGGAUAACGUAGCGAAAGUUACGCUAAUACCGCAUACGAUCUACGGAUGAAAGCGGGGGACUCGCAAGAGCCUCGCGCGAUUGGAGCGGCCGAUAUCAGAUUAGGUAGUUGGUGGGGUAAAGGCUCACCAAGCCAACGAUCUGUAGCUGGUCUGAGAGGACGACCCAGCCACACUGGGACUGAGACACGGCCCAGACUCCUACGGGAGGCAGCAGUGGGGGAAUUUUUGGACAAUGGGGCGCAAGCCUGAUCCAGCAAUGCCGCGUGCAGGAUGAAGGCCUUCGGUUGUAAC